GACAGAAUAGCUCAGUUGGAUAACACUCUCACCGCGUCUCACGUAAUGAGAGUGUCCCUGGUUCGAUUCCAGGGUCUGUCA